UACGUAGGGUGCAAGCGUUAAUCGGAAUUACUGGGCGUAAAGCGUGCGCAGGCGGUUUUGUAAGUCUGUCGUGAAAUCCCCGGGCUCAACCUGGGAAUUGCGAUGGAGACUGCAAGGCUAGAAUCUGGCAGAGGGGGGUAGAAUUCCACGUGUUGAGCAGUGGAAAUGACGUAGAGAUGUGGAGGAACACCGAUGGCGAAGGCAGCCCCUGGGUCAAGAU
rnacentral:rRNA from 1 species